UUCCCUUGAGUCUAUCCUUGAUAUGUUCACUUUAAUCAGUGACGGGUAUUCUCUUUCUUUGGUCUUCUGCCCAGUAACCUGUAGAUGUAAAUCCUUUUUGAUAUUUUUCCCCAGUAGGUUGUUUCCUACGCAGUGAUCGAUAGUGAAUACACCUCCUGUUUCCCUCAGCGAGCCAUCCUUGAUAUGUUUACUCUAACCGGUAACAUAUGUCUCUCUGUCAGAU
rnacentral:lncRNA from 1 species